rnacentral:rRNA from 1 species
GACGAACGCUGGCGGCGUGCUUAACACAUGCAAGUCGAACGAUGAAGCCGGAGCUUGCUCUGGUGAAUUAGUGGCGAACGGGUGAGUAACACGUGAGUAACCUGCCCUUGACUCUGGAAUAACUGAGGGAAACUGUAGCUAACAUCGGAUACGACCCUCGGAGGCAUUUCCUGGGGGUGGAAAGAAUUUCGGUCAAGGAUGGACUUGCGGCCUAUCAGCUAGUUGGUGAGGUAACGGCUCACCAAGGCGACGGAGGGUAGCCGGCCCGAGAGGGUGACCGGCCACACUGGGACUGAGACACGGCCCAGACUCCUACGGGAGGCAGCAGUGGGGAAUAUUGCACAAUGGGCGCAAGCCUGAUGCAGCAACGCCGCGUGAGGGAUGACGGCCUUCGGGUUGUAAACCUCUUUUAGCAGGGAAGAAGCGAAAGUGACGAUACCUGCAGAAAAAGCACCGGCUAACUACGUGCCAACAGCCGCCGCUG